rnacentral:rRNA from 1 species
AGGAGCUUGCUCCUUUGACGUUAGCGGCGGACGGGUGAGUAACACGUGGGCAACCUACCCUAUAGUUUGGGAUAACUCCGGGAAACCGGGGCUAAUACCGAAUAAUCUCUUUUGCUUCAUGGUAAAAGACUGAAAGACGGUUUCGGCUGUCGCUAUAGGAUGGGCCCGCGGCGCAUUAGCUAGUUGGUGAGGUAACGGCUCACCAAGGCGACGAUGCGUAGCCGACCUGAGAGGGUGAUCGGCCACACUGGGACUGAGACACGGCCCAGACUCCUACGGGAGGCAGCAGUAGGGAAUCUUCCACAAUGGGCGAAAGCCUGAUGGAGCAACGCCGCGUGAGUGAAGAAGGUUUUCGGAUCGUAAAACUCUGUUGUAAGGGAAGAACAAGUACAGUAGUAACUGGCUGUACCUUGACGGUACCUUAUUAGAAAGCCACGGCUAACUACGUGCCAGCAGCCGCGGUAAUACGUAGGUGGCAAGCGUUGUCCGGAAUUAUUGGGCGUAAAGCGCGCGCAGGCGGUCCUUUAAGUCUGAUGUGAAAGCCCACGGCUCAACCGUGGAGGGUCAUUGGAAACUGGGGGACUUGAGUGCAGAAGAGGAAAGUGGAAUUCCAAGUGUAGCGGUGAAAUGCGUAGAGAUUUGGAGGAACACCAGUGGCGAAGGCGACUUUCUGGUCUGU